AAGCAGUUGGUAUCAAUGCCGAGUACAUGGAGAAAGAGUCUAGUGGUCCCGCUGUACAAAGGAAAAGGAGCAGCGACGGUAUGUGGGAAUUACAGGACUAUUAAGCUGAUGGAGCAUGCGUUGAAGAUAGUAGAGAGAGUGUUUGAAAGAAGGUUGAGGGAAGUUGUUCGGAUGGGGGAAGAGCAGUAUGGAUUCACACUGGGGAGAGGAACGACGGAUGCGUGUUUUGUGUUGAGGCAGCUGCAGGAGAAAUUUUUGGAGAAGGACAGAGAAUUGUAUAUGGUGUUUGUAGAUUUGGAGAAGGCGUUUGAUAGAGUUCCGAGAAAGGUGAUCGAGUACGCGCUGCGUAAGAAAGGUGUGAC